rnacentral:RNase_MRP_RNA from 1 species
AUCAGCUCGGGCUCACGGCCGCAAGCUCGCAUGGCAUGGCAAACCGCUUCAGCGCAUG